AUACGGAGGAUCCAAGCGUCAUCCGGAUUUAUUGGGUUUAAAGGGUGCGCAGGCGGUAUUAUAAGUCAGUGGUGAAAUCUGGAGGCUCAACCUCCAAACUGCCAUUGAUACUGUAGUACUAGAGUACAGACGAAGUAGGCGGAAUGUAGCAUGUAGCGGUGAAAUGCUUAGAUAUGCUACAGAACACCGAUCGCGAAGGCAGCUUACUAGACUGUUACUGACGCUAAUGCACGAAAGCGUGGGGAGCGAACAGGAUUAGAAACCCGGGUAGUCC
rnacentral:rRNA from 1 species